rnacentral:rRNA from 1 species
AACGCUAGCUACAGGCUUAACACAUGCAAGUCGAGGGGCAGCAUAAAAGUAGCAAUACUUUGGUGGCGACCGGCGCACGGGUGAGUAACGCGUAUGCAACCUACCUAUCAGAGGGGGAUAACCCGGCGAAAGUCGGACUAAUACCGCAUAAAACAGGGGCACCGCAUGGUGAUAUUUGUUAAAAAUUUAUUGCUGAUAGAUGGGCAUGCGUUCCGUUAGGUAGUUGGAGAGGUAACGGCUCACCAAGCCCACGAUGGAUAGGGGAACUGAGAGGUUGGUCCCCCACACUGGUACUGAGACGCGGACCAGACUCCUACGGGAGGCAGCAGUGAGGAAUAUUGGUCAAUGGGCGAGAGCCUGAACCAGCCAAGUCGCGUGAAGGAAGAAGGAUCUAUGGUUCGUAAACUUCUUUUGCAGGGGAAUAAAGUGCAGGACGUGUCCUGUUUUGUAUGUACCCUGAGAAUAAGGAUCGGCUAACUCCGUGCCAGCAGCCGCGGUAAUACGGAGGAUCCGAGCGUUAUCCGGAUUUAUUGGGUUUAAAGGGUGCGUAGGUGGUUUAAUAAGUCAGCGGUGAAAGUUUGCAGCUUAACUGUAAAAAUGCCGUUGAAACUGUUAGACUUGAGUGUAAAUGUGGUAGGCGGAAUGCGUGGUGUAGCGGUGAAAUGCUUAGAUAUCACGAAGAACUCCGAUUG